rnacentral:rRNA from 1 species
GGGCUCGCAGGCGGUUUCUUAAGUCUGAUGUGAAAGCCCCCGGCUCAACCGGGGAGGGUCAUUGGAAACUGGGGAACUUGAGUGCAGAAGAGGAGAGUGGAAUUCCACGUGUAGCGGUGAAAUGCGUAGAGAUGUGGAGGAACACCAGUGGCGAAGGCGACUCUCUGGUCUGUAACUGACGCUGAGGAGCGAAAGCGUGGGGAGCGAACAGGAUUAGAUACCCUGGUAGUCCACGCCGUAAACGAUGAGUGCUAAGUGUUAGGGGGUUUCCGCCCCUUAGUGCUGCAGCUAACGCAUUAAGCACUCCGCCUGGGGAGUACGGUCGCAAGACUGAAACUCAAAGGAAUUGACGGGGGCCCGCACAAGCGGUGGAGCAUGUGGUUUAAUUCGAAGCAACGCGAAGAACCUUACCAGGUCUUGACAUCCUCUGACAAUCCUAGAGAUAGGACGUCCCCUUCGGGGGCAGAGUGACAGGUGGUGCAUGGUUGUCGUCAGCUCGUGUCGUGAGAUGUUGGGUUAAGUCCCGCAACGAGCGCAACCCUUGAUCUUAGUUGCCAGCAUUCAGUUGGGCACUCUAAGGUGACUGCCGGUGACAAACCGGAGGAAGGUGGGGAUGACGUCAAAUCAUCAUGCCCCUUAUGACCUGGGCUACACACGUGCUACAAUGGACAGAACAUAGGGCAGCGAAACCGCGAGGUUAAGCCAAUCCCACAAAUCUGUUCUCAGUUCGGAUCGCAGUCUGCAACUCGACUGCGUGAAGCUGGAAUCGCUAGUAAUCGCGGAUCAGCAUGCCGCGGUGAAUACGUUCC